ensembl:snRNA U6 U6 spliceosomal RNA
GUACUGGCUUUGGCAGCACAUAUACUAAUAUUAGAGCAAUACAGAGGAGAUUAUCUUGGCUGGUUAGCAAGGAUGGUGCACAAAUUUGUGAAGUGUUCCAUAUUUUU